rnacentral:rRNA from 1 species
UAGUAACUGCGAGUGAAGCGGGAAAAGCUCAAAUUUAAAAUCUGGCAGUCUUUGGCUGUCCGAGUUGUAAUCUAGAGAAGUGUUAUCCGCGCUGGACCGUGUACAAGUCUCCUGGAAUGGAGCGUCAUAGAGGGUGAGAAUCCCGUCUUUGACACGGACUGCCAGGGCUUUGUGAUGCGCUCUCAAAGAGUCGAGUUGUUUGGGAAUGCAGCUCAAAAUGGGUGGUAAAUUCCAUCUAAAGCUAAAUAUUGGCGAGAGACCGAUAGCGAACAAGUACCGUGAGGGAAAGAUGAAAAGAACUUUGGAAAGAGAGUUAAACAGUACGUGAAAUUGCUGAAAGGGAAACGCUUGAAGUCAGUCGCAUUGGCUGAGAAUCAACCUUGCUUUUGCUUGGUGUACUUCUUAGUUAAUGGGUCAACAUCAAUUUUGACUGUUGGAUAAAGUCUGAAGGAAUGUGGCAUCUUCGGAUGUGUUAUAGCCUUUAGUCGCAUACAACAGUUGGGAUUGAGGAACUCAGCACGCCGCAAGGCCGGGUACUUGUACCACGUUCGUGCUUAGGAUGUUGGCAUAAUGGCUUUAAUCGACCCGUCUUGAAACACGGACCAAGGAGUCUAACAUGCCUGCGAGUAUUUGGGUGGAAAACCCGAGUGCGUAAUGAAAGUGAAAGUUGAGAUCCCUGUCAUGGGGAGCAUCGACGCCCGGACCAGACCUUUUGUGACGGAUCUGCGGUAGAGCAUGUAUGUUGGGACCCGAAAGAUGGUGAACUAUGCCUGAAUAGGGUGAAGCCAGAGGAAACUCUGGUGGAGGCUCGUAGCGAUUCUGACGUGCAAAUCGAUCGUCAAAUUUGGGUAUAGGGGCGAAAGACUA